AGUUAUAUUUUCUUCGUGGCUGUUUUUGGCGGAUGGUGCCGUAGUGCCAAAAACAGAGAUCGAAGGCCCCAGUGCCCAGGCCCAAAUUACUGGUCCUGAUGGUAGUGUCAUAUCAUCUCAGAUGCCCGGAGGACAUAUUGCUCAAGACCGUGUGCCCAAUAUUAUAGAAACAGCUGGUCAUUUUUUAGGCCCAGUAUACCGAACACUCCACCCCCCUGCCCAUGGUAUGGAGGUACAAGAGAAUAUUGAUGGGUCGUUCGUGGGACCUGCUGUACAAAUGGAUGGCAAAACAUAUGUCAAACACUCAUAGAGCGAUGAGGAAACACAGCAAUAACCAUAGAAUGUCAGUCAUUCUUAUCGUAGAAUAUAUUAAUCCUUUAUAAUAUCUAAUGUUUGCGUUGAAAUAAAAUUAAAUAUUGUUAUUACAUACUAAAUAGAAAUAUAUAAUUUGUUAAAUUGA